UCUACUUCUCUCUCAUUUUUGUCGGUUCUCUCGACAUUCCUUCUUUCUUUCCUCUUCACAACGAAGUCAAAUUCUUUUCUUUUCUUCUUUCAGUCUAAAAAUUGAUGAAGAUCCAAAAAUCGAGUCGCAUAAGGUCUAAAAGAUGUUUGGAUUAGGUUAUUGAUCUGGAAUUGAUGGACCAUAAGGCUCCGUCAGAUCUCCACCAUGAGGAUUUUAUUUUUCUUGGAUCCGCUGAAUCUUCCCAUUUCAAUAAAUUCCUCUCAAGGUCCUGGAAAUCUUCACCUUGAGGCUCCGUCUGUCUCAUUGCAUGGCCAUCCAACCGAUUUCGGAAGAAAAGCUCAUUUCUUUACUAGUUUUGAAGUGUUGUUCAUCACUAUUGGCUUCUUCCAUGUGGGCUAUCCAAGCAUAUAUAUAUUCUGUUCAGAUACAUAUUUCAGUUCUAGGCAAGCAGUACAUGAUAUUUGCAAACUCUAGUAAUAAUGGAACCAGUGAGCAACCUCUUGGUAUUUUAUCUCAUCAAAUCCGUGGUUCCCUUGGACAGUUUUUUGAGAUGACACUUGUGGGCCACUCCUCAAACAGUUUUGCAUGACUUGCUGCAGCAUUAAACUGAGGCUUUGUAAUAUAACAAAGGAGGGGUAGGAUAAGAGCCUCUGAAGAAUUAUUAUUGUCUGUGGACACGGCAGCUCAGAGACUCUCCUCCUUACUCUCUCUCUCUCUCUCUCUCUGUUGGGUCUGCUUCUAAGCUUCUCUCUCAAGUUGACACUACCUUUACCUAUUUAUUCUUUACUCUUUGUAGUCUUCUGUUUAGCUCUCGUGGGUUUUCCAGGUAUGGAUCUUGCUUUUUAUUUAUGUGCUUCGCUGUCUUUUUCAAGAUAAGAGUUAUGAUUCGUGUUUUGUACAUUAGCCAAUGUGCUGGAGACUAUUUUGUGACUUUAGUAUUCCUUUGCAUAGGUUGGGACUUGCAUAUGAUUGCUAGAAGAUGUAGGCAGUCUAAGUAUCUCCCGGCUUGUAGUCAUCCAUGAAGAGAUGAUUCAUGAAGGAGAAGAAAGGAGAAGAUCAAGGCUGGAGUAAGGACAAAUGAACUCCAUAUAGUUUUUUAUUUGGUUUUUGAAAUUAUUUUUGUUUUUUUGUAUGAAGUUGUUGCGAGGAUGGUUUAGAAGCACAAUAACAAUAUGGAGUAUUGAAGGGAUUGACAAAUUUUCAUUAUCAAUAUAUUUUUUUCUAAUUUUGAAUUUUUUUUUUCUGGAAAUAUAUGAAGUCACCAUUGAACAUUGGUGAGAAACUUUAGUGGUAGGACCCACAACUUUGAAG